AGAAGACUCAUCGAAAGUAUCAAGACCCGAAGAUGGUAUUAGAGAAACAAAAAUCUCGUGGGUAGAGAGAGCCAUAAGAUGAGAAUACAUGUUUCCAGUCUCUCCAUAGACUACAUUUUAAUGGGAGGAAAAGAAAAGAAGGAAAACGCACGUCAUUAUAACUCUCCCUUACCGGUUUUGGAACUCUUCUUCCAUUGUGCUUUCUUCGUUCCCCACCACUUUCUCAUCCUGUGGGAUAUUCUGUUAGCGUGAUUCUUCAGAGUCUCACUUCUAUCUUGAAUUCCUUUGGUGAUUCGUUGCUUCCAAUCAUUCUUCUUACUUUCUUUUUCUUUAAUAACCUUUCCCAGCUUUGAUGGGAAGCUUCCUUCGUCAUCAUCAUCGUCAUCAUCAGCAUCUUCAUCACCAAACUUUUUCAUUAAAUCUUCCCUAGAAUACAUUUGCAUACCUGGGGCUCCAGGCAUACCCUGCAUGGAUCGCAUUAGCUUUUCCAUUUCAGCCUCUUUUGAGGACUUAGCAACAAAAGGUUCUCCUGGGACUCUAUUCUUA
rnacentral:misc_RNA from 1 species